rnacentral:lncRNA from 1 species
AGAAGGUCGUUUGCAGAUAGAUGCCGGGGUUGAUUUUGCUUCUUAUCGAAGGAAUCCUCGAUUGUUUAUACUUGCUGAUGUUUAAUAUAUGGACUUAAUUAUUCUAUGCGCAUUUAGAUAUUGUGAGAGAAUACUUAAAUAGUAUUUUGAGAUUUUUGUUGAGCGAUUUAAAUCUAUAAGUUAUGCAGUUUAUAUAGCAGGGAGGUAGGCUGGUAUUAUUUGCUUAUUUUUAAUAUAGUUUGUAUUUAUUGUACGGAUAUAUCUGUGUAAUUACCGAAGGACUGAAACAUUAAAUUGAUUAAUAGCUUUUCUAUUAUACUUUGCAGUUAUCAUAAUGACUGUUUGUUUUGUGACCUGCUACAAUUUAAUCCUGGAGUAUUGAAGUGCUUAUUUUUGUGUUACUGGAAGGUGUACACUUGAACGAGAGGUAAAAGAGCAGGUCGAUAUUCGAAGAUAAUGUCAAGAUCAACACGUCAAAAACUCAAGGAGUUCCGCAACACAGUCCAGAUGGUACAUCCACACCGCAACGCCACCCAGCCGUUUCAGCCCCGCAACCGGUGAAUCUGAACCCGCAACAACUUGUGUUUGUGGUGUGCCUUGUUGCAGAACACCAUUGUCCCGUGUUUACGCAGCGAAGGAGCGUUUUGGCUGACGAUUCGCUGCACUCUCAGACAGUGUUGAACAAAAUGGUGAGUUGGUUCCGAUGUAGAGCAUUUAUAACGACUUGGGUGACCACGUUUCAGCAAAUGUUAAACUUACGAUGGUUAAUGGCGAAUUCAUAGAGUAAACAGUAUUGUUACGAUCAGAUCACACUAAUAACAGUCAAGGUCAGAGUUUUCUUGUUACUGAAGCAGACUGAUAUCUAAAAUUUCAAUCAAAGGCUCCUGCCAAAAAGAUAGAUUCAUUGCCGGCCCUUAAUGUACAUGAGUAUCUAUAUAUACCGUGCGCAAGAAAAUGUUAUGACUUUAGUUUUCAAGGUAUUUGUACCAAAUUUGCUUGUGUAUACGAACAUAGAUGUACGCGUUGUAAUGGGAAGCACUCUAGGAAGUAUUUAUUUUUUCAGAAUCACGUAGCUACCAAUCAGCAUCGUUCUAGGUACUCGUCACUUGGACCUCGUGGAAACUUCAGAUAGCCAAAACCGGCAUCUCAAAGAGGGUCACUUAAACCUCCAUUCCCUCAUCAAAACCCUUAUUGACUAAGCAGUAUUACAAGUCUAUCUUUCUUUAUAUCCAAAAUAAUAAAUGGCAGCUGAAUGUUUAGAGGGUUCUAACAAAGGGUUUCGAUUACAAAACCAGCGCCCUAGAGUCCAAACUUCGUGUCAAACUUUAAUUUCCGUUAGGCAAAACUCUGCUGUAGCUAAUGAGAAAGUUAUGCAGGAAGAGCAGUUAAGCAGAUUUGCGGUUCCUUUUCAAGAAAUUCUUGUUCCAAAUUUCAGGCAAUCCGCGAUCAGUCUUGUGGCCAAAAAAGAUGGUAGCUCGAGGAUUAUACACCAUCUUUCCUUCCCGCAGAGUUAAAGUUUGAAUUUUUAUUGAUACGGCAUCUUCCUCAGUUCAGUACACUUCUUUAGACAGGGUGACGGAGCUAUUGUUUCAUAAGUGCAAUAUUGCGAAAUGGCUAAAGUUGUCAUAAAAUUUGCCUUUCGCCUUUUGAGGUUCAUAAUUAUGAUUUUGAAAUUAUUAGGCUUCAAAUUAGGUGGGGAUUAUUUUACGGACAAGGCGUUACCUAUGAGUGUGCAAUCUCUUGCUGCCAUUGGGAAAAGUUUGCUAAUUUAUUACAAUAGCUGGUCCGGUACAAGAGGAAAUCCGAAAGGCUGUUUUAUUACUUGGAUAAUUAUGUUUGUUUGGCUGGCUCUAAUUCAGGGAAUGUAUGGCCAAUUUGUUCUGUUUUAUAGAUAUAUGCAAAUACCUUAACAU